GGGCGUGUAGCUUAGUCUGGUUGGAGCACUCGACUGAUAAUCGAGCGGUCGGCAGUUCAAAUCUGCCCAUGCCCA
rnacentral:tRNA from 1 species